GCUCCCGCGGGGAGGAUGGUUUUGUGCCUUUAUUGAUGUGCUGCCCGCCUCCCUCUGUUCUCAGAGUCGCUUUGUUUUCGGAGUCACUUUUCUUUAUUCUCAGAGUCACUUGUUGAAGCGGGAGGGCAAGAAGUUGUUGGAAACGGCACAGAAGAGCGCUGAUGACCGGAUGGAAUCGUGGGGACAGGCGGGAGGAUGAUCGCUGCGUUAGAAAACCACGUCAGGGCUCGGCUGUGAAGCACGACACCCCUGUCCAGUCUCUUCUCACACUGUAACUACCAUGGACAGCAAGAAGCUGGUGGGACAGUUGCAAGCUAGUCUGUGUCAGGGCUUUAUCAGUCAAAGCACUGUUGAGUAACCUCAGAAACUUGAUUCCUAGUGAUUGUCUCCAUGUCUCUGCUGACUCCUGCUGAAACAACAUGACUGAGAGGGCAGCAGCAGAGAGCCUACACAGAGCACCCCGAGACCACCCCGCCAGAGAAGCAAAGUUCACCCUCACCUCGCCAGCCAUUGCGGACGAUGUUCUGCUUGUUCCGGCAGCGAUCCCGCAACUGGUGCGACCUGUGGGACAGCGCA